AUGUGCAAUAUAUGGUGAUGGCUUUGGACUGUAAACAUCAAAUAGAUUUAGUUUUGGCUUUUUGAUUAACUUUCUUUUCUAUUCUAUCAGUCAGCUUCUAGUCAGCAGGAAGGUAAAUUGGUGACUGGAACAAUUACAUUAAAUUCUCUCCUUUUCUCCCUUGCUGCAGUACAUCUGUAACUGUUAGCCUUCCAGAUACACAGGAGUCCAUUCUCCUAAGCAGCAUGUAGUAAAGGAAAAGUGGAUUCAAGUAAUGAUCCUGCCAUUUGUGAUACUGAAACUCAAGACUUGUUUCACCUAUAAUGGAUGAACUGUGGUUACUGUGGUAAUGCCUUAAAAAAUGACUCAGUGUCAGGGACUGUGAAGAAAAAUGUCUCAUUUUUUUUUCUGAGGCUAAAUUACAACUCAUCAAAGAAAGACUGUGUCCCUGGUCAAAAGAGGUCAUUCAAAGUAUUCAGUUCAAAGAGGUGGCAUGCCAGUUUGCACUCAAAUAACUGCUGCUGCCUUCAGUAUUCUCGUGUAACGUUGCUCAGUCCCUUUAGCCUUGUGUUUUCCAGAAAUCUUAAUUCCUAGUGCAAGUAGUAUGUUGGUGCAAUAACUUCGGUGGUGCUUUUGUGAAGCAGAUGAAGGUCUACUAUGCUGAAAAACAAAACUACUGUGCAUGUUUGCAGUUCCAGAUUCCAAGAUUUCUGUGUGUAAUACCUGUGAAACACAUCACUCAAAUUGCCCACAUUUUUUUUAAAUAUAAAAUCAUUUCUCUGUACACAAAAAAAGAACUAAUUAUGUAAAUACAAAACUGUGAUAUGGUUUCUUGGAACAAAUAACCUUCAAAGAUAUUUUCUCUGUAUGUGACAGGAGGUUCACCACUUUCUAUAGCUAAUAAAGUCAGUGAAUACAU